CGAACAGUACCCACUCACGCCAAAAGUCCCCCCUCGAGCUCGCUUUGGCGGUGCAAAGGAAGACAAAACAAGCCAUGUCCACCGUCGGCGGCUUUAAGCGGCGCACAGCCAAGAACGCCACGACGCGGCGCGCCGUCAAGCGGUACGAGCCAAAAGUGGUGGAGAACCCGAAGCGCGUGCUCUUCUUGAAGGGUGCAUCCUCGAACGAUGUCGUGACGGAGGCGAUGGUGGAUCUCAUGGCCAUCGCGAAGCCGUACUGUAAGAAGCUCGCGAAAAAGAACGCCUUCUUUCCGUUUGAGGGGCGCCAGCACCUGGAGUUUCUCGGCUUCAAGAAUGACUGCUCGCUCUUCUGUUUUGGCUCGAGCAACAAGAAGCGACCGAACAACCUCACGAUUGGGCGCCAGUUUGACUUCCACGUUCUGGACAUGGUGGAGCUGGGCAUUGUAGCGGCGGACCGCCUCGACAUGUCGCAGACGGUCGGCGUUGACGCCGGUUCAAUGGGCGGGAAGCCGUUCUUUGUCUUCGACGGCAGCGAGUUCGCGUCGGACCCGACGUUCAUGCGCCUAAAGAAUCUCCUGGUGGACUACUUUCGCGGCGGCAACGACGUCGAGAUCAAUCUCGACGGUUGCGAUCGCGUCCUGUUUUUCUCGUUGCGUUCGAAGAACGGCGAGGACGCGUGUGUGGCACCCUCCGCGGACUGCUACACCAACAAGCCACCUAGUCAAAAGGGCAAUGCGGUCCUAUGUAUGCGGCACUACGCCGUCAAGAAGCCGUCAGCGGCCACAGGCGUCCCGAAGAGCAUCAAGAACAUUCAGCUCUACGACGUCGGACCCAACUUCGACUUUGAAAUCCGUCGCAUCUCCUUUGCGACGCCGCAGGAGUUCAAGGUGGCCUGCCGCAUACCCCGCCAGACGCUUGCCACGCUGCGGUCGACCGCCGACAACGUGCAGUCGGACGGCCUCAACAACCUCCGCGGUCAGCUGCACGUGGGCAAACAAGACGUCCAGGAGCUUAACCUGCGCCGCUUCAAGGCACACCGCCGCGGCAUCGCGAGCGGUGCCGCCGACUGUGACGAGGCCGCCAAAGAGGCGAGCAAGCCGCGCCGUCGCAGAGCUCGCUUGGAGACGGAUGCAGGGGAAUCUCGCCCCGAGACGGACAUUUGAGCUCGAGGCGCUUGUCGGGGUGCUCUCCCAGUGUGUGUGUGUUGGUAGUUAACGGCAUCGUUUCGUCUAACACGUAAGACCCCUAAAGCGUAAUGCACGGCACCCUCUCCAGAAGG
rnacentral:misc_RNA from 1 species